rnacentral:tRNA from 1 species
CUCAGUUUAUAUAGUUUAACAAAAACAUUACAUUUUCAUUGUAAAAUUAAAAAUCCAUUUUUUAUA